rnacentral:tRNA from 1 species
GCGGAAUUAGCUCAGCGGGAGAGCAAUCGGCAAUCGGUCGAAAGGUCAUGGGUUCGAGUCCCAUAUUCUGCUCCA